rnacentral:misc_RNA from 1 species
GAUGAAGAACGUAGCGAAAUGCGAUAAGUAGUGUGAAUUGCAGAAUUCAGUGAAUCAUCAAAUCUUUGAACGCACAUUGCGCCCCUUGGUAUUCCAUGGGGCAUGCCUGUUCGAGCGUCAUUUGUACCUUCAAGCUUUGCUUGGUGUUGGGUGUUUGUCCUGAGGGACUCGCCUUAAAGUAAUUGGCAGCCAGUGUUUGGUUUUGAAGCGCAGCACAAGUCGCGAUUCAAGGCUAUACACCAGCUUCCACAAGCCUUUUUCACUUUUGACCUCGGAUCAGGUAGGGAUACCCGCUGAACUUAAGCAUAUCAAUAAGCGGAGGA